GACGAACGCUGGCGGCGUGCUUAACACAUGCAAGUCGAACGAUGAAGCUAGAGCUUGCUCUGGUGAAUUAGUGGCGAACGGGUGAGUAACACGUGAGUAACCUGCCCCGAACUCUGGGAUAACUGCUGGAAACGGUAGCUAAUACUGGAUACGACCUACGAAGGCAUCUUCUGUAGGUGGAAAGAAUUUCGGUUCGGGAUGGACUCGCGGCCUAUCAGCUUGUUGGUGAGGUAAUGGCUCACCAAGGCGACGACGGGUAGCCGGCCUGAGAGGGUGACCGGCCACACUGGGACGGGGACACGGCCCAGACUCCUACGGGAGGCAGCAGUGGGGAAUAUUGCACAAUGGGCGCAAGCCUGAUGCAGCAACGCCGCGUGAGGGAUGACGGCCUUCGGGUUGUAAACCUCUUUUAGUAGGGAAGAAGCGAAAGUGACGGUACCUGCAGAAAAAGCACCGGCUAACUACGUGCCAGCAGCCGCCGUAA
rnacentral:rRNA from 1 species